rnacentral:rRNA from 1 species
UCAGUAGGCGGUGUGGCAAGUCGGGAGUGAAAUCUCUGGGCUCAACCCAGAGGCUGCUUCCGAAACUGCCAUGCUAGAGUGUGGGAGAGGCGCGUGGAAUUGCAGGUGUAGCGGUGAAAUGCGUAGAUAUCUGCAGGAACACCCGUGGCGAAAGCGGCGCGCUGGACCACAACUGACGCUGAAUGACGAAAGCUAGGGGAGCAAACAGGAUUAGAUACCCUGGUAGUCCUAGCCCUAAACGAUCAGGACUUGGGGUGCCGCACGUUCGUGCGUCGUCCCGGAGCUAACGCGUUAAGUCCUGCACCUGGGGAGUACGGUCGCAAGACUGAA